rnacentral:rRNA from 1 species
GACGAACGCUGGCGGCGUGCCUAAUACAUGCAAGUCGAACGCAGUGGGUACGGGUUAGUUACACGUGGGUAACCUCCCAUCAGCGGUUAUAACACUUGGAAACAGGUGCUAAACCGAUACUGAUGGAUGGACCCGUGGUGCAUGAGCUAGUGGGGGAGUUAACGGCUCACCAAUGCCACGAUGGAUAGACGACCUGAGAGGGUGAUCGGCCAAACUGGGACGGAGACACGGCCCAGACUCCUAGGGGAGGCAGCAGUAGGGAAUCUGCGGCAAUGGACGAAAGUCUGACCGAGCAACGCCGCGUGAGUGAAGAAGGUUUUCGGAUCGUAAAACUCUGUUGUUAGAGAAGCGGUAUCGAACCAGAAAGCAACGGCUAACUACGUGCCAGCAGCCGCGGUAAUUC